AAAUUGAAGAGUUUGAUCAUGGCUCAGAUUGAACGCUGGCGGCAGGCCUAACACAUGCAAGUCGAGCGGUAGCACAGAGAGCUUGCUCUCGGGUGACGAGCGGCGGACGGGUGAGUAAUGUCUGGGAAACUGCCUGAUGGAGGGGGAUAACUACUGGAAACGGUAGCUAAUACCGCAUAACGUCGCAAGACCAAAGUGGGGGACCUUCGGGCCUCAUGCCAUCAGAUGUGCCCAGAUGGGAUUAGCUAGUAGGUGGGGUAACGGCUCACCUAGGCGACGAUCCCUAGCUGGUCUGAGAGGAUGACCAGCCACACUGGAACUGAGACACGGUCCAGACUCCUACGGGAGGCAGCAGUGGGGAAUAUUGCACAAUGGGCGCAAGCCUGAUGCAGCCAUGCCGCGUGUGUGAAGAAGGCCUUCGGGUUGUAAAGCACUUUCAGCGGGGAGGAAGGCGUUAAGGUUAAUAACCUUGGCGAUUGACGUUACCCGCAGAAGAAGCACCGGCUAACUCCGUGCCAGCAGCCGCGGUAAUACGGAGGGUGCAAGCGUUAAUCGGAAUUACUGGGCGUAAAGCGCACGCAGGCGGUCUGUCAAGUCGGAUGUGAAAUCCCCGGGCUCAACCUGGGAACUGCAUUCGAAACUGGCAGGCUAGAGUCUUGUAGAGGGGGGUAGAAUUCCAGGUGUAGCGGUGAAAUGCGUAGAGAUCUGGAGGAAUACCGGUGGCGAAGGCGGCCCCCUGGACAAAGACUGACGCUCAGGUGCGAAAGCGUGGGGAGCAAACAGGAUUAGAUACCCUGGUAGUCCACGCCGUAAACGAUGUCGAUUUGGAGGUUGUGCCCUUGAGGCGUGGCUUCCGGAGCUAACGCGUUAAAUCGACCGCCUGGGGAGUACGGCCGCAAGGUUAAAACUCAAAUGAAUUGACGGGGGCCCGCACAAGCGGUGGAGCAUGUGGUUUAAUUCGAUGCAACGCGAAGAACCUUACCUGGUCUUGACAUCCACAGAACUUUCCAGAGAUGGAUUGGUGCCUUCGGGAACUGUGAGACAGGUGCUGCAUGGCUGUCGUCAGCUCGUGUUGUGAAAUGUUGGGUUAAGUCCCGCAACGAGCGCAACCCUUAUCCUUUGUUGCCAGCGGUUCGGCCGGGAACUCAAAGGAGACUGCCAGUGAUAAACUGGAGGAAGGUGGGGAUGACGUCAAGUCAUCAUGGCCCUUACGACCAGGGCUACACACGUGCUACAAUGGCAUAUACAAAGAGAAGCGACCUCGCGAGAGCAAGCGGACCUCAUAAAGUAUGUCGUAGUCCGGAUUGGAGUCUGCAACUCGACUCCAUGAAGUCGGAAUCGCUAGUAAUCGUAGAUCAGAAUGCUACGGUGAAUACGUUCCCGGGCCUUGUACACACCGCCCGUCACACCAUGGGAGUGGGUUGCAAAAGAAGUAGGUAGCUUAACCUUCGGGAGGGCGCUUACCACUUUGUGAUUCAUGACUGGGGUGAAGUCGUAACAAGGUAACCGUAGGGGAACCUGCGGUUGGGUCACCUCCUUA
rnacentral:rRNA from 1 species